UACAGAGGUGGCAAGCGUUGUUCGGAAUUACUGGGCGUAAAGGGCGCGUAGGCGGCCAUCUAAGUCAGACGUGAAAUCCCUCAGCUUAACUGGGGAACUGCGUCUGAUACUGGAUGGCUUGAGUUUGGGAGAGGGAUGCGGAAUUCCAGGUGUAGCGGUGAAAUGCGUAGAUAUCUGGAGGAACACCGGUGGCGAAGGCGGCAUCCUGGACCAACACUGACACUGAGGAGCGAAAGCCAGGGGAGCAAACGGG
rnacentral:rRNA from 1 species